rnacentral:rRNA from 1 species
AGUGAACUCUGGCGGCGUGCCUAAUACAUGCAAGUCGAACGAUGUGGCGCACGGGUGUGUAAUAUAUAGUUAAUCUGCCCUACACAGAGGAACAACAGUUGGAAACGGCUGCUAAUACCUCAUAGUGUAGGAUGAGACUAUAUCGUAUCAGCUAUUUGGUAAGGUAAUGGCUUACCAAGGCUAUGACGCGUAACUGGUCUGGGAGGAUGAUCAGUCACAUUGGAACUGAGACACGGUCCAAACUCCUACGGGAGGCAGCAGUAAGGAAUCUUGCGCAAUGGGGGAAACCCUGACGCAGCAAAGCCGCGUGGAGGAUGACACUUUUAGGAGCGUAAACUCCUUUUAUCAGGAAAGCGGAAGAUGAAGAAUAAGCACAGGCUAACUCCGUGCCAGCAGCAGCGGUAAUAG